AUGACUUUGGUGGUGUUUCUUCAUCGGCCAAGUUUCUACAUUAAGGCUGAAUACGUGGCUGGCACAGGAGCUGCCUUCUGGACAAGGACAUUUUCAGUGGAAGAUAAUGCACAGAAGGUGUACAAUACCACUGGUUGUCAAAGAAGCGAAGCCAGGGUCCCUUCUAGUGGGUGGUAGGUAAGAAUUACUAAUCCAAUCUGCUUGAGUUAACUCAAAACAAGGAUUAGUGUAAAGUUCCAGAAUAUGUUAAUCUUCCUUUAUAGAAGUAAACUUCAGCUCUGCCACCAACCCCAUGGUUUAUAGUUCCUGGGAACAAUGAGCCAAUUAAACUUGAGAGGGA
rnacentral:lncRNA from 1 species